rnacentral:misc_RNA from 1 species
AAACCUCCUCCCCCUUCGGGUUUUGUUACUAUCGUUGGGGGGUUUUGGCCUAAUGGGAUAGCGAUUGGCAAUUCGUUUCCCAAUGUCCUAAAUAGACGUAGACCCGCCUCCAGAUGCGACAGCACCGAGGCCAUCAACCGUGGAGUUAUGGGAUAUAAUAGGCUUGCAGUAAAAUGCUCACCUCUCUCCACACGCCGAUGGCACGACAGUUGCAGUUGCGGGCGUAAAUUGGAGCCCUUUUCAGGACCCUUGUGGCCUAGCAUCCACCAUACAUA